rnacentral:tRNA from 1 species
CGAGGUGUGGCUUAGCUUGGCUAGAGCGCCGCGUUAGGGACGCGGAGGUCGCAGGUUCAAAUCCUGUCACCUCGA